AGGAAGCUUUGGAUUCCUCCCAAGUUUUAUGCUAAAGGUUUCCUUGCUCUCUCAGCAGGAUGUCGAGUGCCACCGUGUCCCUGAGGUCACCCUUUCUCCUGUUGGGAGAGCACGAGGUGGAUGGAGAGGAUCCCCAGGCAUCUGCAGGCACAAGGAACUUGUGCAGCUGUGAUUUUCCUACAGCCCUUGUGAGAUGGACUUUGAGGGUACCAUGAGUAAUGUGCCAGCUCUCCUGCUGGAGCUUUUGUCUGCUGUAUUUGAACACAAAGAGUAGAACUAAAGUCAGGGAAUAACUCCUGUCAGCAGCAAGGUCCCGACUGAAGUGGCAGCUGCAGUUGUUCCUGUGGUGUGGGCCAGUGGAACUGCAGGAGAGUGGAAGAGGGCAGAACCUGAGAAAAUCUGGAAAGCAGGAAGGAAGCAAAGAAGCCCCGUGACUCCUCCCUGAGCCCCAGCCAGCCCCUGAACUGCCUUCCUGGGAAUGGUAGGACGGGGUGGACUCUGGAUUGCUCCCUCUGGAUGUGUGGCUCUCCCCUCAGGAACUGCAGGAACUCCUGGUGCCGCCUGGGCUGAUGGAUUGGACGCCCCAGCCCCUCCGUUCCUGCCCAGCCACUGGGGCCGUGUCCAGUGGUGGCACUGCCAGCCCUGCAGGGGAAGUGGGAAGGGCCUUUGCAGGUCUUGUGGAUCACAUUGAUAGCAGUGGGAUGGAGCCUGGAAACUCCCCAGAGCUGAGCCAAGGGAUUGAAAGGGACCAACCAAGGGAGGUGAAGAAAGAAGGAAGAAGGGAACUGAGGCGCCAUCCAAGCAGCACCAAGUUGCUGUGUAAGCAGGAGAAAAUUGGGAAAGUGGGAAGGAAGAAGAGAAGCCCUGUGACUCCUCCCUGAGCCCCAGCCAGCCCCUGAACUGCCUUCCUGGGAAUGGUGGGACGGGCUGGACUCUGGAUUGCUCCCUCUGGAUGUGUGGCUCUCCCCUCAGGAACUGCAGGAACUCCUGGUGCCGCCUGGGCCGAUGGAUUGGACGCCCCAGCCCCUCCGUUCCUGCCCAGCCCCUGGGGCCGUGUCGAGUGGUGGCACUGCCAGCCCUGCAGGUGAAGUGGGAAGGGCCUUUGCAGGUCUUGUGGAUCACAUUUAUUGCAGUGGGAUGUAGCCUGGAAACUCCCCAGAGCUGAGCCAUGGGUUUUAAAGGGACCAACUAAGGGAGGUGAAGAAAGAAGGAAGAAGGGAACUGAGGCAGCAGCCAAGCAGCACGAAGUGGCUGUGUAAGCAGGAGAAAUUUGGGCAAGCGGGCAGGAAGAAGAGAAGCCCCGUGACUCCUCCCUGAGCCCCAGCCAGCCCCUGAACUGCCUUCCUGGGAAUGGUGGGACGGGCUGGACUCUGGAUUGCUCCCUCUGGAUGUGUGUGGGAUGGAGCCUGGAAACUCCCCAGAGCUGAGCCAAGGGAUUGAAAGGGACCAACCAAGGGAGGUGAAGAAAGAAGGAAGAAGGGAACUGAGGCAGCAGCCAAGCAGCACCAAGUUCCUGUGUAAGCAGGAGAUGGAAUUCUAGUGCUACAGAAGAGAUGGCUCGUGGUGCUCCCAAAAGGAGCCUUUGUGCCUUCAGGGUAAGUUGUGUUGCCCCUGGAGCUGUUGGGAGAAGCAGAGGGUUGUCAGGGAGAGGCCUGGAAUGAUGUUGCUGUGGCACAGACGUUGCUCCCUGGCAGGUUCUUGGGUUGGAUUCCUUGGCUGCCACUUGGCAAGGCCUGGAAGGGCCUCAGUUGGGUAGGGAACCAAACCUGGAAUGGGAAAGCAAAGGGGGGGCGGUUCUGGUUUCAGAAAGGAU